ACGAACGCUGGCGGCGUGCUUCACACAUGCCAGUCGCACGGAAAGGCCCUGCUUGCAGGGUACUCGAGUGGCGAACGGGUGAGUAACACGUGGGUGAUCUGCCCUGCACUUCGGGAUAAGCCUGGGAAACUGGGUCUAAUACCGGAUAGGAGCCAUUUUUAGUGUGAUGGUUGGAAAGUUUUUUCGGUGUAGGAUGAGCUCGCGGCCUAUCAGCUUGUUGGUGGGGUAAUGGCCUACCAAGGCGGCGACGGGUAGCCGGCCUGAGAGGGUGGACGGCCACAUUGGGACUGAGAUACGGCCCAGACUCCUACGGGAGGCAGCAGUGGGGAAUAUUGCACAAUGGGCGCAAGCCUGAUGCAGCGACGCCGCGUGGGGGAUGACGGCCUUCGGGUUGUAAACUCCUUUCGCUAGGGACGAAGCUUUUUGUGACGGUACCUAGAUAAGAAGCACCGGCUAACUACGUG
rnacentral:rRNA from 1 species